rnacentral:rRNA from 1 species
CCUACGGGAGGCUGCAGUGAGGAAUAUUGGUCAAUGGCCGUAAGCCUGAACCAGCCAAGUAGCGUGAGGGAAGACUGCCCUAUGGGUUGUAAACCUCUUUUAUGCGGGGAUAAAGGUGUCCACGUGUGGAUGUUUGCAGGUACCGCAUGAAUAAGGAUCGGCUAAUUCCGUGCCAGCAGCCGCGGUAAUACGGAAGAUCCGGGCGUUAUCCGGAUUUAUUGGGUUUAAAGGGAGCGUAGGCGGUUCUUUAAGGUAGCGGUAAAAUUUUGGGGCUCAACCGUAGGGGGCCGCUGAAACUGGGGGCCUUGAGUGUGCGGAAGGCAUGCGGAAUUCGUGGUGUAGCGGUGAAAUGCUUAGAUAUCACGAAGAACCCCGAUUGCGAAGGCAGCGUACCGCAGCAUUACUGACGCUGAGGCUCGAAAGCGCGGGUAUCGAACAGGAUUAGAUACCCGAGUAGUC